UGAAAUUUAUAAUGAAAUUUGAGGAUAAAACUUUAACAGAUUAGACUUUUGGUCUUUGGGGUUUGGAGUUUAUAUUCUAAUAAAACACAAAUAAAUAAUAAAAUACCAUAUGUUUUUCAUUAAAAAUCCAAAACAUACAAGGAUUUGAGAUAACUAGUAUGACAAUAUUUCUAAGUACAUUUUUGUAUGGCUAACUCUACAUUCAACAUCUCAAGAGCUGCAUAUGCUAACAUUCAAUCUCAAACUCUAAUCUCUGCUCCCAUGUCAUCUUCUCCAACCAAGCUUCUCAUCUUCUUCAACAUCAAAACUCAAAUUAGUUCAUACGGACCAUCAUCCUCAAUAAUGAGCUUCACCAUUUAAAUUUUCACGAGCUCCUAUGCCUCGUGUUCAUCUCCCUGUGAACAAAACCAAAGCAUGUACACAUUAUUAUAACUCUAUAUAAGGCAAAGCCAUAAGUCAAAAGCAAGAACAAAUAUGGAAGGCCACCUGCAGUCUUUGAGCAGACACGAGACACAAGCGCAUUAUGUAUCUAUAAUAAUUAAGAUAAACACCAAACUUCAAACUCACCACAACACAAACAUGGAGAAACAUAGGAGUCUUAGUGAUAGAUACCUUUGAUAGUUUACCUGAACUUGUCUCAGAGUAGCUUUCUUGAUCAAAGCUUGAUUCAUAACCGUCUGAGACAUUAGUAAAAACAUGAAGAGAACCAAUCAUGCGAGAGAGAAAGAAGAAAGGAGAAGCCAUAUCGAACUCAACAAUCUCCAUCAAACUCUGUUUCACUUUGAGUAAACACACAUGCUCCACUUCUCUUUAUCUAGAGCAACUGCAAGAGGCUCCAAGUAACUGAAA
rnacentral:lncRNA from 1 species